CACACCGCCCGUCACACCAUGAGAGCUGUUUGUACCCAAAAUCAUUUUAGCCAACCUGGAAAAAGGGGGCGAAUGCCUAAGGUAUGUAUGGUGAUUGGGGUG
rnacentral:rRNA from 1 species